rnacentral:tRNA from 1 species
AAGGUUUUAGCUUAGUUAAAGCAUCUAAGUUGCAUUUAGAAGAUAUGGAUUAGAGUUUUAUAGGCCUUC